GUGGCUUAAUUACAAGUCCUUCCCUUCUAUGGCAGAUGAGAUGGUCCAAUUGGCCCAGUCGAAUGAAUUCUUCGAUCUCAUCCUUGAGUUGGAUACAGUUCUCAGUGUCAUGGUUAUGAUCAUGAUGGUAGAGACAAUACCUCUUCUAUAUGUGAUUUUUUGAUCGAAAUUUUAUUUUUCUUAGCCUGGGCAGCUGUUCUCUAAUCUUCAUAAGUAUCUAGGUUUUGGAGGCAUUCAGGGAAGUGUAGC
rnacentral:lncRNA from 1 species